rnacentral:rRNA from 1 species
AAUGAACGUUGGCGGCGUGGAUUAGGCAUGCAAGUCGAGCGGGUGCAGCAAUGCACCAGCGGCGAAAGGGACAGUAAUACGUAGAUACCAACCUUGGGUCGGGAUAGCCGCGGGAAACUGCGGGUAAUACCCGAUAACAUCUCCGGAUCAAAGGUGUGAUUCCGCCCUUAGACGGGUCUGCGUCCUAUUAGCUUGUUGGUGAGGUAAUGGCUCACCAAGGCUUCGAUGGGUAGCGGGUGUGAGAGCACGACCCGCGUCAUUGGGACUGAGACACUGCCCAGACACCUACGGGUGCUG